rnacentral:lncRNA from 1 species
GCUUGGUAGACAUGUUCCCUGCCUAUAAAGACUUUACAGGCCAGAGGGGAGAUAGGCAUUAAUAUAAGUAGAUGUUACUUAUUUUUAAUUGCCAGGGAAAAUGGGGGUAACAUUUCAUUUCCUCUGCUUAAAUCGUUGGUGCUCCGCAUGCCAGGGCUUUUGAAUUUCAGACUAGGAUUUCUCAAUAUAUUGGCACCGGGUGCCUUUUGGCAGGUGUGCGUUCGUAUAAGGACAUCUAGAAAUCGAUUUGGACGUUAGCUUCACAAAAGCAAAAAGUCGGUUUCCCACUCCCUACCAUCUUCCUGACGUUUCUUUGGCGAGAACCCCAGCCUGCACAGAUCUCUGAUUGCAGUGAGGUGGGGGUGCAAAGGCUGCAGCCUGAUUUUAAGAGCUGCACAGUGAGAUUGAAUGUGGGUGGAAAAAGCUUUGGUUCGAUUGCUUCUCCCCAGAUCGUCACCAUAGGGUGCCAGGUCGAUGAUGGUUCAGCUUCUGUGGUACCACGUUCCACCCCGAUCCUGUCAAGCGAGGAACUGAUUGCCUUGAAUUUCAAGGGACCUGAUGGGCAGGAGUUUGGGAAAUGGAAUUUUUUUCCUCUUGAGUCCAGUGUUUAUGUAAAUAGGCAGAGUGUUUUGUGUAGUAUGUUUGAAUAUGUGUGUGUGCGUGUAUGUGUGCAUGUGCAUCUAGGUGUUGACAUCUCCCCCCAAAUUGCUCCUUGUCCGAUUCCACCUUCUCCCCCUUCCAUCAGGGGGUUGGGUUGCAGUAGCAAAGCAGGCCCGGAACCAAGGUGGCUCGUGGCGAGGGUUUGAUCGUAGGUGACUUAUCAGGAGCCGCCAGGGAGCGGGGAGGGAAAUGCCGCCUCCGCCUUGGAGGAGAACCAAAAUUAUCUGUGGGCAGCACGCAGCCCGACUCCAUCCCCAACCCACUCCACCAGCCCUGGGACACACAUUCACACCGACAGCGUAACACUACCGCAGGCAGCCCUCAGCCUGUCCCUGACCCAUUCCACCACCCAAAGUACACACACACACACACACACACACACAAAACACACGUACAGGAACAGAACACUACUACAGGCAGCCCACAGCCCAAAUGUCCCUGACCCACUCCACGCACAGACACACCCGGAGUCACACAACAGUACUGUUGACAGCAGGCAGCCCAACUCUGUCCCCGACCCAGCCCCACCACUCACACACACACACACAAACACACAGUCACACAACAGUCCUGUGGACAGCACGCAGCCCAACUCCGUCCCCGACCCACUUCCCUACCUCCGCCCCGUGACAGACACCCAGACACCCAGACAGACAGACAGCCAGACAGCCAGCCCCACAACGCCCCGCCCAGCCGGUUGCAUCACCCCAGGAAAACCGAACAAGAAAAACAAGCGUGGGUUAGUAGCAGAGCGGCCUCUGCAGGCUGACAAGUCUCCCUCGUCACCCCCUCGCAGGCCUAAACCCUGGCAAGGUCUCUUCUGACUCUUCGGGAGAAGUCGGAUCGAUCUUACCUCUCCUGGCCCCGUUUCACGGGAACUCAAACGGUCAGGAUCUUGUGCAAACGAGGAGAAGAAGCCACCAUUAACAACUGGCCUCUGGCCACCAAAAUCUACAGUCCACCGUCGCUGGUACUUUGAUUUGGGGAGUCUGGGGAGACUCUGUGUCGCCAUACUCCGGGUCGUAAACUCUCCGUCUGGACUGUUGGGUACUGAAAGGUAGAGGAUUUGGGGAGGUGGAUGGUCAGAUGUUUUGGGAGCACGGCUGUUUUGAGAAGCAGUGUGGUCUAACUGAUAGAACAUGGGCCUGAGAAUCAGUAGGACCUGAGUUCUCAUCCUGACUUCGCCACUUGUCUGCUGUGUGUACUUGGGCGGGAUGUUUCACUUCUCUGGGCCUCAUCUGUAAAAUGGGGAUAAAGAGUGUGAGCCCCGUGUGGGACAGGGACUGUGACCAACCUGAUUAACUUCUAUCUACCCCACCACUUAGAACAGUCCUUGGCACAUAGUAAGUGCUUAACAAGUACCAUCAUUAUUGUUAUUAUGAUGAUGAAGGAUUGUGUCCAACCUGAUUAGCUGGUAUCUAUCCCUUGUACCUGUGCUUAGUACAAGGCCUGUCACAUAGUAACAAAUACCAAAUAUAGGGGUUUAGAAGAAUCUGUCAACCAGCAGUCCAUACUGGUUUACUUGGGGAAAGUCAGGAUUGAGAUGAGAGAGUUAGGGGUGUUGGAUGGUCCUUACUGGGGCUCACAUUCUAAAUAGGAGGAAGAACAUGUAUUGAAUUCCUAUUUUACAGAUGAGAAAACCAAGGCACAGAGAAGUGAAGUGACUUGCCCAAUAUCACGCAGCAGGUCUGUGCUGGAGCUGGGAUUAGAACCCAGCUCCUCUGACUCCCGAAUCUGUGCUCUUCCCAUUAGACCAUGCUGUUCCUUGUUCUCUCAGUCUUUCAUUCUGUUUCCUUAGCACAGCGCUCUCUUCAAGGGGGGCGGAGAGCUUCUCACCCAGAAAUAAUCUCAACCUCCACUCCCUUGAGUAGUGGCCCGGCUUUCCAAAGUGGGGCUCCUACUAGCCAAUUCUAAUGAGCCAGCAGUGCCCUUUUCUCUCCCUCCUAUUCCUGCAACCUCUUAGUCCCCCUUCGCAGUGGAAGCCCUCUGGGAGAGGCAGCUCACCUUAGCCUCGUUUGCUUCCCCCCAGAAUAUGAGGUGGGCUUGUUGCCCAGAAGCUCUAGUGGUGGGGUGAGAUGCAAAACUAGAGGUUUUUGCGGCAACGGGAAAUUGCUCCAUAUGGCCACUGGAAGACGGCAAAUGCCCCCCACCUUCCCACAACCCUAUCUUGGGCAAGAACCCCUUGUCCCCCAGGGCAAUAUUUUCAGGGUGCAACUUCCCACUGGCCUGAGCAAAGGGGAGCAUGCCGACGGUAGAGGAGACGGAGGGAUGGAGCUGUCUGGGAAGAAGGGCCUGGUCCUUAUUGUAGCUGCACCCUGGGAACGAGGCUGCAGGGCCCCCCUCUCCCCCCACUCCACCACCCUCCCUCCCCCCCAUCACAGGCUUGGGGACUGCGUGACCUCACGCUAAAGAAGCUUGGGAAGGAGGGAGCGUGGGAGCCGCUGCAGGGCUCCCCAGGUGGGGGAGAUAACAAGCGGGCGUCAGUUCGAAGCCGCAAGGAGCCCACUGUUUGGUGUUUCUGGGUGCGUGGAGGGGGGAGCCCCCGGUCAAAGCCGGGUCCUCAGCGCCGCCGUCUCCCGAGGCCGAGGGAGCCCCCGCUGCCGCCGGGCUCUGUAUGGCCGCCCUUGUUAGGCUGGGCACUCGCUGCCUUCCCGGUUGUCUUUGGGGGAUUCGCUGAAUACAAGGCCAUUGAUUUGGCAAAGGAAAACGAAGCUAAGGGCCAGAGCAGCUUCGCCCAAUCCGUGCCCUGUGGGGAAUAAUGGCUCACUGUGUGGCAGGCCUGUGCCCCUGUGGCUCCUGGGAUGGGCAGGAGGGUGGGCGGGGGGAUGUGGCUGGGUGCGGGGGGAGGGACACUGCCCCCAGGACUGCUUUUAGGGCCUAGCCUUGGCAGCGAAGCAGUGAGGCCCAGUAGAAAGAGCACAGGACUGGGUGUCCUGUGAGCCCUAUGUGGGACAAAGACUGUGUCCAACCCGAUUAGGAUGGAUCUAGAGAAGGAGCGUGGUCUAGUGGAUAGAGCACAGGCCUGGGAGUCAGAAGGAUCUGGGUCUGCUGCUUUGCUGUGUGACCUUGGGUGAGUCACUUCACUUCUCUGGGCCUCAAUUACCUCAUCUGUAAAAUAGUAUUAAGAUUGUGAGCCCCAUGUGGGACAGGGACUGUGUCCAACCCGGUUAACUUGUAUCUACCCCAGCUCUUAGAACAGUGCCUGGCACAAAGUAAAGGCUAAACAAAUACCACAGUUAUCACCUGCUCUGUGACCUCAGGCAAGUCACUUAAUUCUCUGUGCCUCAUUUUCCUCAUCUCUAAAAUGGAGACCAAAUUCCUUCCCUCCCUCCAUCCCUCCAUCCAUUCCUUCCCUCCAUCCAUCCAUCCCUGAACCCCGGGUGGGGCAGGGACAGUGUCUGACCUGAUUAUCCUGUAUCCAGUCAGUCAGUCAAUUGAUUUAUGGAGAGCUUACUGUGUGCAGAGCUUAGGAUAGUGCAAUAAGCAAUAAACGUUCCCUGCCCACAAUAGGCUUAUAGUCUAGAGGGGGAGACAAACAGAAAUAAAAAUAGAUGAAAUAGCAGAUAAGUGCUGUGGGGCUGAGGGGGGUGAUGAAUAAAGGGAGCAGGUUGGGUGAUACAGAAGAGAGUGGGAGAAGAGGAAAGGAGGGCUUAGUCAGGGAAGGCCUCUUGGAGGAGAUGUGGCCUUCAAUAGGCUUUGAAGAGAGGGAGAGUAAUUGUCUGUCAGAUAUAACGCUUAGCAUAGCACGAGAUCAAUGAAACAUAAUAAUUAUCAGUAUUAUGACUCUGAACUCACAACCUGGUUGGGUCCCCAUGGGCAGAAGCGACUGCCGGGUGGGGGGCUUCCUUGGUGCCCCUCUUCCCCCCGUCACGGAAGCGUG